CCAACCAGGGAUUGCCCUAGUAACGGCGAGUGAAGCGGCAACAGCUCAAAUUUGAAAUCUGGCUCUUUUAGAGUCCGAGUUGUAAUUUGCAGAGGGCGCUUUGGCGUUGGCAGCGGUCCAAGUUCCUUGGAACAGGACGUCACAGAGGGUGAGAAUCCCGUACGUGGUCGCUAACCUUCGCCGUGUAAAGCCCCUUCGACGAGUCGAGUUGUUUGGGAAUGCAGCUCUAAAUGGGAGGUAAAUUUCUUCUAAAGCUAAAUACUGGCCAGAGACCGAUAGCGCACAAGUAGAGUGAUCGAAAGAUGAAAAGCACUUUGGAAAGAGAGUCAAAUAGCACGUGAAAUUGUUAAAAGGGAAGCGCUUGCAGCCAGACUUGCCUGUAGUUGCUCAUCCGGACUUUUGUCCGGUGCACUCUUCUAUAGGCAGGCCAGCAUCAGUUUGGGCGGUUAGAUAAAGGUCUCUGUCAUGUACCUCCUUUCGGGGAGGCCUUAUAGGGGAGACGACAUGUAACCAGCCUGGACUGAGGUCCGCGCAUUUAUGCUAGGAUGCUGGCGUAAUGGCUGUAAGCGGCCCGUCUUGAAACACGGACCAAGGAGUCUAACAUCUAUGCGAGUGUUUGGGUGUCAAGCCCGAACGCGUAAUGAAAGUGAACGGAGGUGGGAACCCUUUAGGGUGCACCAUCGACCGAUCCUGAUGUCUUCGGAUGGAUUUGAGUAAGAGCAUGGCUGUUGGGACCCGAAAGAUGGUGAACUAUGCUUGAAUAGGGUGAAGCCAGAGGAAACUCUGGUGGAGGCUCGCAGCGGUUCUGACGUGCAAAUCGAUCGUCAAAUUUGGGCAUAGGGGCGAAAGACUAAUCGAACUAUCUAG
rnacentral:rRNA from 1 species